AAUAGAUACCCGGGUAGUCCACGCUGUAAACGUUGGGCGCUAGGUGUGGGGGGCCUCUCCGGUUCUCUGUGCCGCAGCUAACGCAUUAAGCGCCCCGCCUGGGGAGUACGGCCGCAAGGCUAAAACUCAAAGGAAUUGACAGGGGCCCGCACAAGCGGCGGAGCAUGCGGAUUAAUCCGAUGCAACGCGAAGAACCUUACCUGGGUUUGACAUGGCCGCAAAACCGGCAGAGAUGUUGGGUCCUUCGGGGGCGGUCACAGGUGGUGCAUGGCUGUCGUCAGCUCGUGUCGUGAGAUGUUGGGUUAAGUCCCGCAACGAGCGCAACCCUCGUUCGAUGUUGCCAGCGGUUCGGCCGGGGACUCAUCGAAGACUGCCGGGGUCAACUCGGAGGAAGGUGGGGAUGACGUCAAGUCAUCAUGCCCCUUAUGUCCAGGGCUUCACGCAUGCUACAAUGGCCGGUACAAUGGGCUGCGAUACCGUGAGGUGGAGCGAAUCCCAAAAAGCCGGUCUCAGUUCGGAUCGGGGUCUGCAACUCGACCCCG
rnacentral:rRNA from 1 species